UGAUAGAAUUUCAUGUAAUUCUCAUAAGCCAUUAGCUCAUCCGACAGCUUCUGCACUUCGCUCUCUUGAUGCUGAGAUUUCACGUCCACUAUCACCACCUCCCCACUGUUCACCUUCUCCACCGCCAUUUUCUGCUCCUCCCUUUUCACUUCCACUUCACCUAUGUAACAGUUGUUGCUUCCUUUCUGAUUGCAGCCCACUAGCCCAAUUACAGAGUAGGCUUCCUCCUCCGAACCAGACCCAGAAUUCUCCUCGCCAGAAACGAAAAUAGGUGCGGUAUUUAUACCAUUUGAAGCAUAGGAUCCAAUAUGGUUUAAAUCACAACCGAACCCAAAAUCAUAACUUUUGGGAGGAUUGCUGAAAUUACAAGUGAGGGGUUGGUACAGAGGGGGACUGGGAUUCCUCUGAUGUGGACGGUUAAGGUGGUGUUGGGAAGUGGUGUCGUCUUCAUUGGGGAAAUUGACUUUGGCUUUACUCCCGCGAAUUUUACGAGCCUCUCUAUCGUAGGCACGAGCAGCUUCUUCAGCGGUGUUGAAGGUGCCAAGCCAAACGCGGACUCCUUUCCUUGGGUCGCGAAUCUCCGCAGCCCAUUUGCCCCACGGACGUUGCCUGAUACCUCUAUACAAGUUCUUCCUCUGCCUCUUGGCAGGGAUCUUAUCCACACGAUCAUCAUCUGAAGCGGGUUGGGAUCUUUUGUGAGUGAAUGAUUCGUGGUUGCCGAAUGAGUUCGGAUAGGACUCGAAGGGGCUGAGUUUAGAGAAGGAUGAGUUUGGCCAAAUGACAGAAGCGGCGAUGUAGCGGCCACGGUUGCGAGGGAUUAAGUCAGCUAUAAUAGCUCCACCACACAUCUUUAGCUAAGAGAAGUAUGCGAAAGCUUUUAAAAAUAUCUUGGAUUUUCAGUGGAUCAGGGAAUAUGGAGAAGGUAUCGGUGGAAAUGGAGAUUGGAGAAAACCUUGAAAGGGUUUAAG
rnacentral:misc_RNA from 1 species